rnacentral:rRNA from 1 species
UACAGAGGUCUCAAGCGUUGUUCGGAUUCAUUGGGCGUAAAGGGUGCGUAGGCGGCGCGGUAAGUCGGGUGUGAAAUCUCGGAGCUUAACUCCGAAACUGCAUUCGAUACUGCCGUGCUUGAGGACUGGAGAGGAGACUGGAAUUUACGGUGUAGCGGUGAAAUGCGUAGAUAUCUGGAGGAACACCGGUGGCGAAGGCGGCAUCCUGGACCGGUAUUGACGCUGAGGCGCGAAAAGCUAGGGGAGCAAACGGG